CAUGCAAGUCGAGCGGAACGAGUUAUCAGAACCUUCGGGGAACGAUAACGGCGUCGAGCGGCGGACGGGUGAGUAAUGCCUAGGAAAUUGCCCUGAUGUGGGGGAUAACCAUUGGAAACGAUGGCUAAUACCGCAUGAUGCCUACGGGCCAAAGAGGGGGACCUUCGGGCCUCUCGCGUCAGGAUAUGCCUAGGUGGGAUUAGCUAGUUGGUGAGGUAAGGGCUCACCAAGGCGACGAUCCCUAGCUGGUCUGAGAGGAUGAUCAGCCACACUGGAACUGAGACACGGUCCAGACUCCUACGGGAGGCAGCAGGGGGAAUAUUGCACAAUGGGCGCAAGCCUGAUGCAGCCAUGCCGCGUGUGUGAAGAAGGCCUUCGGGUUGUAAAGCACUUUCAGUCGUGAGGAAGGUAGUGUAGUUAAUAGCUGCAUUAUUUGACGUUAGCGACAGAAGAAGCACCGGCUAACUCCGUGCCAGCAGCCGCGGUAAUACGGAGGGUGCGAGCGUUAAUCGGAAUUACUGGGCGUAAAGCGCAUGCAGGUGGUUUGUUAAGUCAGAUGUGAAAGCCCGGGGCUCAACCUCGGAAUUGCAUUUGAAACUGGCAGACUAGAGUACUGUAGAGGGGGGUAGAAUUUCAGGUGUAGCGGUGAAAUGCGUAGAGAUCUGAAGGAAUACCGGUGGCGAAGGCGGCCCCCUGGACAGAUACUGACACUCAGAUGCGAAAGCGUGGGGAGCAAACAGGAUUAGAUACCCUGGUAGUCCACGCCGUAAACGAUGUCUACUUGGAGGUUGUGGCCUUGAGCCGUGGCUUUCGGAGCUAACGCGUUAAGUAGACCGCCUGGGGAGUACGGUCGCAAGAUUAAACUCAAAUGAAUUGACGGGGGCCCGCACAAGCGGUGGAGCAUGUGGUUNAUUCGAUGCA
rnacentral:rRNA from 1 species